ACACAGAGGGUGCGAGCGUUAAUCGGAAUUACUGGGCGUAAAGCGCGCGUAGGCGGCUUAUUAAGUCAGAUGUGAAAUCCCCGGGCUCAACCUGGGAACUGCAUCUGAUACUGGUAAGCUAGAGUUUUGGAGAGGGAAGUAGAAUUUCAGGUGUAGCGGUGAAAUGCAUAGAGAUCUGAAGGAAUACCAGUGGCGAAGGCGACUUCCUGGCCAAAAACUGACGCUGAGGUGCGAAAGCGUGGGUAGCAAACGGGAUUAGAAACCCGAGUAGUCC
rnacentral:rRNA from 1 species